rnacentral:misc_RNA from 1 species
GUUGGUUAGAGCGCGCGCUUGAUAAGCGUGAGGUCGGAGGUUCAAGUCCUCCCAGGCCCACCACUUCGCAAUCCGCAAGGAUUGUCGGAUCUCCUCGAUAUCCGUCGGGAAACACUAUCAGGGGCCGUAGCUCAGCUGGGAGAGCGCCUGCUUUGCAAGCAGGAUGUCGUCGGUUCGAUCCCGUCCGGCUCCACCAACCAUCUUCUGUGAAGGUGGGGCGUGUCGAGUAGAGGAUGAUCGCCCGCGGUCAGUCAUUCGAAAAAGAGUUUGCGGCGCGCUUCGUGCUCUCCGCCUGUUCUGUUUGACAUCGUAAAGAGAAGAUUUGUUCGAACUUCACGGCUGCAAGGCUGUGAUUUGUCGCAAGGACGCUCAAUCCCUUGCCUAUGAUGGGUUUGCCUAACCGCGCCCUCGAACGGAUCUCGAGAAGCUGGUCUUUUUGUGCCAAUUCCAUUGAAGCAAGCCCCGCACAGGGUUUUGCUCAGGCGGCGAUCCUUCGGAUCGCGCAGAUGGGUAUUGGCAAUGAGAACGAUCAAGUGUCUUAAGGGCAAUUGGUGGAUGCCUUGGCAUGCACAGGCGAUGAAGGACGUGAUACGCUGCGAUAAGCUACGGGGAGGUGCGAAUACCCUUUGA